CCCUUAGAUGUUCUGGGCCGCACGCGCGCUACACUGAUGCAUUCAACGAGUCUAAAACCUGGUCUGAUAGGGCUGGGUAAUCUUUUGAAAGUGCAUCGUGAUUGGGAUAGAUGAUUGCAAUUCUUCAUCUUCAACGAGGAAUGCCUAGUAAACGCAAGUCAUCAGCUUGCAUUGAUUACCUCCCUGCCCUUUGUACACACCGCCCGUCGCUCCUACCGAUUGAAUGAUCCGAUGAAUACCAUGGAUUGAGAGUACGAAUGGGUUCGCUCAUUUCUGCUGCUCGAGAAGUGGAGUAAAUCUUAUCAUUUAGAGGAAGGAGAAGUCGUAACA
rnacentral:rRNA from 1 species